GGAGCCAUGUGCUGCCAGGCCUGUACUGUAGCCAUCUUCACUUCUUGCUUGUUUUGUGGCCUUCCUGCCUUCAGUCUGUCAUCAGAAACUGAAACACAUGCUUGGUUGGACUGGGGUCAGAUUAAUGACUUAGCCAGUCAGCGAUAUUUGACUAUUUGGACAUCAAUAUCGUUCCUUCACUUCUCUGUAUGUUUAGAUUGAAUUCCUGCUCUGAUGUCCUGGGGGUCUUUGUAUGCAACGAGCUAGAUGAAGUCAGCCAAAAGACCAUUAAAGCACAACGCUUCAUGCUGACAGUAAAAAUAGCAGUCUCUUAUGCAGAGUAAAAUCAAAGAAAGCAAAAAACAGUGUUCUUACUGCACAAUAUAGAUGACUGCUGUUUUUCUGUGUCUUCAGCAUACAUUACUGCGUAACUGAGGGCAAGAGGGUUAUCACCGAUUGACCGAACAGCUCUUUGUUAUUUAUAAGUGCCUCGUCCUAUCGAUAUCCUUUCUCACUCUGGUUGUGUGCACAAUGAAUAAUUACAACAGAGUUUUGUACACCCAGCUCAACCAGAAACCCCUCCUGUCUCCUGACUUGUCCUCCUUUCUUCGCUCCUCAUCCUCCGUCCUCCACGGAGAUCCCUACCCUUUCAUAUGCAAAUCCCUUCUGAGAUCCCAGAGGCUGUUAGGUGUGGAAGAGACUGAAGCCGAGCUAAACAGAUGGAUCAGCUGACGAGGAGAACCAUCCUGAGAGAUGACAGAUGGUAUGCUUUUACUGUGUUGGCAGUUUGUUCGGGAUCAUUUCAUGCUGAAAAAUAAAGCCGCUGCCAAUCAGAUGCUUUCCACAUGGUAUUGCAUGGUGGAUCAAAAUUUAGUUCCAUAAAUUUUCACAUGAUCCCAAACACCACUGGCUGAAAUUCUGACGAGGGUUCAGCAAAGAGCAGAUGGACCAACUGAAGGUCCAGAUCCAUCUAUCAGUGUCAUUCCUGCAGGGGACGAACUAAUCAGAGCAAUCUUUGUAAUCACCUACUUCCAAGGUGCACGGAGAAGAACAUCGAUUUUAAAGAGGUUAAAGCCUCAGUAACUCUUGGGUCAUCUGAGGAGACACCGCUAUGGAUCUGGAUUAUUCUUCUGAAUCUGAUUUGGAUGAGGUGAUAGCUUUUGUGUAUCAGUUACUGUUGCACCUCCUCCCUAAUGUGUGCAUGUGGGAUUCGGUAUUCACCCGUGGCGUGUGUGGUGUGAUGAGGUUGAAUCAGCCUUACAAUGUAAAGAGAUGUGAUUCAUUUUCUUUUUAUCUCUUUUUGCAAAAUCUCAGAGACUAUUCAAGUUUUUUAAGUACAUUUGCUACUUUUUUACUUGAUAAUUUGUUGCUAUAAUAUUACCACCAUCACCACCCACCUCAGCUUUCUAAAUUAGCACACUAUGAAAGAUUUUUACUGGCAUAUUUAGCAAGCUCUCAUGCUGUUAUAUUUUUCAUAGCAACUGGAUAUUAUUUACUGUUGUUUUCAGCAUUUUUCCAAUCAAGCUCACACAGUAAUAGUGCUGCUGAGUCAGACUGGGAAUGGGCAAAAAACAAUCUAUUUCCUGCUGUAUUUCUGUCCCAGGCGCUCUAUAUCUGUCAAUAAUAAUAAUGAUAUACAGUCAACACCUACGAGUAUGAUUUAUGCCGUAAACAGAAUAAAAAAUGAGAGUCUGAACAAAGCGUUGGUUGUAUUUGUUGCCUUAGUGUACAAGUCUGUGACACGUUAAGCCAGCAUUAAAGCCAUC